UGGGGAAUAUUGGACAAUGGGCGAAAGCCUGAUCCAGCAAUGCCGCGUGAGUGAUGAAGGCCUUAGGGUUGUAAAGCUCUUUUACCCGGGAAGAUAAUGACUGUACCGGGAGAAUAAGCCCCGGCUAACUCCGUGCCAGCAGCCGCGGUAAUACGGAGGGGGCUAGCGUUGUUCGGAAUUACUGGGCGUAAAGCGCACGUAGGCGGCUUUGUAAGUUAGAGGUGAAAGCCCGGGGCUCAACCCCGGAACUGCCUUUAAGACUGCAUCGCUUGAACGUCGGAGAGNUGAGUGGAAUUCCGAGUGUAGAGGUGAAAUUCGUAGAUAUUCGGAAGAACACCAGUGGCGAAGGCGGCUCACUGGACGACUGUUGACGCUGAGGUGCGAAAGCGUGGGGAGCAAACA
rnacentral:rRNA from 1 species